rnacentral:lncRNA from 1 species
UUUUUUUUUUUUUACAACUUAAGCAAACUCAUUUCCCUGAUAAAAUAUAGCAUGACUAAUGGCUAGAGCAUGUAAAAAUCAUUGGGAAAAUGUCCUUGGAAGACGAAUGCAUUUUCAGCAGAAUAAUUAACUUAAUUAACAAAUUCACAUGCAUAUUCAUCAGGCUAUUAAUGUCUUCUCGGCUCAGCUUGAUGAACAUUGCGGUAAUAACCAUCUCAUUUACAUACUGCAUUCUACUGCGAUCCAAAACAGAGACAACAUACAGGCGUACACACAUACACACACACACACACACACACACACUCUUACACCGAUACACACAACAUGCCUCUGCCGCUUUGACUUCCAGGUUGGUUGGGAGUGUGUGCGUGUGUAUACGCGUGUGUGCAUUUGUGACCGGGAUCGGGGGUGAGAGUGGGAACCCCGGACAGGGUGGUGUGAUCUUUAGAGGGCUGUGAGUGAGACGGGCUGAGGAUGCCCACAUGUGAAUGUCUGAGAGAACUUUAAUUCUCUCGUGCCCUCUCUCUUUGCCUCUUUUUUCCUUGUUUCCUUUUCUCUGUGUCAUUUUCUCCCUUCUUCUCUACCCCCCCCCCCCAACCAUGUCUCUCUAGGGAAAAACUUGGUAUCUGUGCCAACUUCCCCCCCCUUCCUCCCUCUCUCCUUCCCCUCUCCCAACUGCUGCCAGCCGGCAUCAGCGCCGAAUUGCCAUCUCCUUGAGCUCUCUGUGGAGCAAUCUCAGAGAGCAGUAAGGUGUGACGCGGGGCUCUGCCGGCUUCGCAGCACCGCCUGCGGAAAGAACGCAGGAUGGCGGAGGAAGAUUAAGAGAAAUCGCGAGCAGGGCUCCGCUGCCAUUGGUGUGUGCAAACGCCGAGGAGGAAGGGAGAGGGAGAGCGGGAAGGGGGGGUAGGAAGGGAGGGGGGAAACCAGCAGCUGUCGGCCUAAUUCUUCUAACACUCUGCUUGUGGUCAUAUUAGAAAAACAGAUUAUGCCCCUCGGUGCCACUCACUUAUACUUGACGUACGUUAAUGUUCUAUAUCUCCAUUCUCGGGGCUUGACGACAGUGGACCUCAGAUCUAGGAGGAUGAGGGACUAGGUGGCCAAGGGCCAAAAAAAGACCCUGCCUCCUCAUUCUUCUUGACCUCCAACCCCUCAGUUUAUAUUUGCCCUUCAGAAAGGAAGCCUGGGCCCAGAAUUUGCAUCUGAUGCCAGGAUUUUCCCCUGCUUUCUUCAGCCCCUUAGGAGGUGCAUCUGGAAGCCCUUUCCCCUAAAAGUCACUCCCCCUUUAGGGUUUUAAUAGGUCACUUUAGGGCCAAGUGUGACUAGCUUUGUGGCAUCCCCACUCCCAACCUUUCCAUGAUCCCUCCAUGGACCCUCCCCCUCAAAUCAGAAAUUGAGGGUCAGAGACAGGAGUGUACGAAAGUUGUGCUCCAUGAGAGGGUUACAGAGAAGCCAUAAGUAAAACAAGGCCAGGAUUGUUUCUGGGUUGCUAUAGAAACCAGGUUCCCUCCUCCUGGCAGGAAGGGAGGAGUGCCUGAGGCCUUCCUUCUUCCACCAAUCCUGAAGGCUACAAAGGCGGAGUUUGCUGAGGCCUGGGGGAUAGGGCUGGUCUUGGAUAAAUGAGCCAGAGCCAUUUUUCCCACCACCACCAAGGCCCACCUGCCAGUCUGUAGCCCUUUGACCCCCACCUUCCCUACCCUCUCACCCCAAUAUUCAGUCAAAGGAGGCUUUUUCCUCUAGGUGCCUUGUCCUCUGUGGAGACCUGUUGCUUAGCAACCACCAGCUCCUUCUUCCUAAUAACUCGCAGGGACUGAGAGAUAUAAUAUCUGUCUCUAUAUUCAGUUUCCCUCCCUUGUCUAUUUAUAUUUAAUAGCUGAAGCCCUGUCUUGGGUUCCCUUGGCAUCUGUUUUAGAGGGAAUAAGCUGCAGCCUUAUAAAGUUACACCUGAGGAAGAACUUCCAAACAAGAGUGGGAGAAAGAAAAAACCUGCAGUAGGUAGGGAAGCUAUGGGAUCAUAUUCUCGUAAGUAUAGGUAGAGGGAAAAAAUAGUGUUUAGAGCUUGGAAUGUGGGGAGAAGAUGUCCACGGGGAUUCCCAAAGGGUCUACUCAGGACCCAGAAUGGACACCAACAGAGCUGCUUCCCGGACUGGUAUCUUCCCUCCCGACACCUUGCCCUACACCUCUGACCUGACCAUUUCCGGUCUGGUCAGGAGACCCGGGUUUGGGGCCCUCUCCUUACUUUCCUGUGAUCCAAGUUAUUCACUUAAUCUUGUAAACCCCUGUUGCUUCAUCUGUAGAUCAAGAGUAGUAAUAACAUUCACCUCCCUGGACUUUAGCUGCAUCCGUUAAAGUAAUAUAUGAAAGGAAACGCCUUGGAAGCUAUCAGAUUUGACUAAAAUAUCAUUUUAAGGUCUGGCAAAGGUCUGACUGCUGGGAAGAGGGAGUCAUCAUGAAUCGAACCUGGCCUUGGGCUUAGAAAGGCCAUUAGUUUUUGGGUCAGAAGGAUGUGAUUCCUUGCCCUCUGGUUGGUAGGGAGCUUUAAAUCAAAAUCAAACACAAAGCUGUCUGGGGAGAAUAGUGGCCCAGUGUUCGUACCCGCCUCCUGGAUCUUCAUUCCCAACCUCUGACCUCUAGUUCUUCUUCCCACUGAUACCCCAGGCUGACCCUCCACUCCCUUCUCCCCCGGCAGCACCUUCACUGCCAUUGUUCUGGCUUACAGACUGUACAGUUUCACCCUCUAUACCCCCCUUCUCAGCACCUCCUCCAACCCAAGCCUUCUGUGGGAGACAGAUGGGGUGUCUGCAAUGGAAAAGGCUCUGGGCUCUACGCCGCCUUGGGUGGGCAGCCCCCCUCCUCAUCUCCCAACUACUCCCUCUCCCUACCUAAGACACUCAGAUUCACCCCGGGCAGCUUUGGGAGCUGCUGAGGAUUCCAGCUCUCUUCUCAGACUCAGCCCCAGAAGCAGAACCAGACAGCAUCUUUCUCUGAGACCUAGACCCCAGCAGCUCUUCAUGGAAGACCAGUGCAAAGGAAGAGCAGGUUGGGGGAUGGUGGAGCUCUAUGCGACGGGACUAAUGUGGAGAAGCAGGGAAAGGCCCAGAGUCCCUCACUGAGGACUGGAUGGCUGGGGUUUGGAGCCUGAGUUGACAGAGGAGGCCGAGCCUAGGCAAUUCCUUUGUUCCAGAAAUCUGGGGUCCCUGGAGGGAGGCUCAGCUUAGGGAGGGGGGAAAGGGAGCUAACAUUACAGAGCACCAACUGUGAGCCAGGCAUGAUGCCAGAGCCUCUCCAUACCUGUACUCACAACUAGCAGGUGAAGAGUCAGGGCAAAUAGGUGUCUCGCAAGCUCGCAGCAUCUCUCGGCACAGCUGACCACCUCCUCCUUGGAUUCUGCGAUGUCACUGCCAAUUCUCCUACCACUGUGGCUGCUCUUUCUCCGUCUCCCUUGCAAACUCAUCCUCAACUCCUUAGACUCAGCCAAGUCCCCCGAUUAUAUACUUUCAUGGUACUGUAUAUUCUUUCGUAGCAUUUAGCACAGUUAUUUCAUUCUUAUUUGUGCAGUCAUUUUAAUAAUGAUCCUAUUUCCCCCACCGGAUAGAAAGUGCCACAAGGACAGUGACCAAUGUGCUCCUGGUGCCCAGCACAGUACCUGCCAUGAAGCAGCUGUUUGGUAAAUAUUUGUUGAAUGAAUGAAUAAAUGACAAAGGGUCAUUUCUCCAGCCUAAACUCAGCUUCUUAGUCACUCUACAACCCCAGAGCUGACUUGCCUGCAAUGUGUGGAUGAGAAAACAGAGUGCUUGGGAAGCCAGGCCGCCUCAUUCUCUCUGGAAAAAGCUGACAAGACAGGACAGCCCAAAUGCCCGGAUAUGGAGCCCCUCUCUUGCCUAAGUCUGGCCCUGCCUGUCUGCUCUCCAGCUUCUCCAGGGAUUGAGAGAAUUCAAUGUUCCAAUGUCUCCCCACACUGAGGCCUGAAAUCACUCAGGUGCUGGAAGGGAGAAGUUCACUGGGGAAGGAUACUCUGCAAAAAACCCCUCUUUUCUGCCUUAGCUGAGACUGCAGAGACCACCUGCUACCACCCCUCUGUUUGCUUCUGUCUUCUUUCCCUGGGCUCCAGGGAAGCGGGUGGUUUGACCAAGUGGGAGGGAUAGAUGGUAGAAUAUGGUAAGAGCAAACCAGUCUGCCUGUUCCUUGAAAUGUCUAGGGGGUUGCUGAUAAGCCUCAGCCAGGUGAUUGGAGCAGAGGAACACAGGAUCCAGCAGCCUCAAGUCCUUUGAGGACCCUGGGAAGCAGGGGUGGACAAAAUGACCUCUAGGUGUAGUCGGCCUUCAAUCCAGGGCUUUAUCUGACCCCUUUGCUGCCCUUGCCACCUGACCUCAAAUGAUAUUCCCGAGUCUCCAAGAAGUUAGAGUUAGGCCAGGCCCAGCAGCCCUUUGCUCUUCCUGGCCCCUCCUCCUUCUAGCCAGCCACCCGGCCCAGAGCGUCUCUCCCACCCAGCUUAGAACCAAUACCCAGUCCUCAUGAUGGCCUCUCACCCAGUCCCUUUUUCCUGACAGUGCCCCUCAGUCAUGGAUCUGGAAGCCACUCUAGGCAUUGUUGCUCCCUCUGACCCCACCUGUACUCUGGACCCCUAAUGAAGUAGGACAACUCAGGCUAUGGGCCAAGUCCUUGUGUCCUCAUCAAAAGCAACAUCUGUCUCCUCCAAGAAGAUAACCCUGCAGAGAGGCGGGUGAGACAGGCACAGGGUAGGAACCCCCAUCCUGCCUGGGUCCUCACCCCAGAUUCCACUGCAGGCACAGAUUGAGGGUGAGAGCCAGGACAGCCACAGAGGCCUCCACUCACACAUGCCCCUGCCAGGCCUUCAUGCCUCUGAGCCUCUGAAUACGAGGGCCCCCUCCUUGACUCACCCAGCUACCUGGGCUGCUGCUGCUGCCAAGCCAGCCUUCUUUUAUUCAUGCGUUGUUUUAUUGCUGGCAAAUGCUGCUGCUUGCUGCUGUUGGAGGCGUUCCUGCCAAAUCCAUCCCAACAUCUUGGCCUGGCAUCAGGGCGGCAUGCUAAUGUGGAAAUUUAAAGAGCUGCUCGGCUUUAAAUCGGAAUUUUAAAUGAGCAGCAGUGAUCCAGAGGGACCUAGGCAAAAUCGACAGUAUCCGAUCCACCCUUCCCACUCCCACUCAUGUAGCAUCACCCCACUUCCUCCCACCUCUCCCCUUGACUUGGACAUUAGACGAGAGAGUGGUAUGGGACACCCUAGGGGAAGAAGGAAUUGGUGCAAGAUAGAGUCAGUUGGGUCAGUAAGUAGCUGGGAUCCUUCCACCCAGGACCGAGAAGUGAUCCACUGCUUGCUGUCAUGGGCACAUGGAGACAGGGAAUCGCUACACGAGGGAGCAGGGCUGGGGAUUUUGAAAAUGACAUUCCAACCCCACUUCCCAUUUUACCAGGAAAUAAAGAGAAGGACCAGAGCAGAGAAGAGGAAAGGUAGAAUUCCAUUAGGACCCUCACAUGCAACCCAGGGAUGUGUACACACAGCUGUGCAUGCAGGUCAGAAUGCUUUCUGAGUCCCCCUGCAGCUUACAUACAUGCACCUUGUACACCACUCUACAUGGAGAAAGGAUUUUCACAUGUGCAGGGCAGUCUUUUUUCCCAUAGCCAGGCCACUGCCCUAACCAGGGCUAGCCGGUUUCUGCACGUUGCUAGCCUGACCAAACCCCAGGUUUCCCCAUAAAUCCUAACACACCAACAUUCUCCAGCUCCUGGCAGCUACCUUGAGUCAGCCAUGGUGGUGACAGAGCCCCACAGCGACUCUGCCCGAAUAAGGCUACAGAGUUGGAGCCUUGGUUAUAGUGUGGAGGUGAUCAGCUCACCUGAGAGAGGUGCUGGGCAUAGCCUUGAUUUCAGAAGUAAGGGGGCUAAUGGGAGAGGAGAGGCAGAAUCGGUGUCUCUCUGUGAUUUCCUCUCCUACUUACCUGUCUCCAGGAGACAGGUGGCCCCUCAUUAUCAGAAAAUCUGGAGUUCCCGUCGUGGCGCAGUGGUUAACGAAUCCGACUAGGAACCAUGAGGUUGCGGGUUCGGUCCCUGCCCUUGCUCAGUGGGUUAACGAUCUGGCGUUGCCGUGAGCUGUGGUGUAGGUUGCAGACUCGGCUCGGAUCCUGCGUUGCUGUGGCUCUGGCGUAGGCUGGUGGCUGCAGCUCCGAUUCAACCCCUAGCCUGGGAACCUCCAUAUGCCACGGGAGCGGCCCAAGAAAUAGCAACAACAACAACCAAAAG